AGCGAACGCUGGCGGCGUACUUAACACAUGCAAGUCGAACGAGGAUCUUCGGUGUAGCAAUACAUCGGCGGUCCUAGUGGCGCACGGGUGAGUAACACGUGGGUGACCUGCCCUUGAGCUCGGGAUACCCCCUCGAAAGGGGGACGUAUACUGGAUACGUUCCUCGGUCGAAAGACUGAGGAGGAAAGGUAGGCGCAAGCUGCCGCUCUUGGAGGGGCGUCGCGGCCUAUCAGCUAGUUGGCGGGGUAACGGCCCACCAAGGCUAUGACGGGUAGCUGGUCUGAGAGGACGACCA
rnacentral:rRNA from 1 species